CGUUCGGAUUGCAGUCUGCAACUCGAGUGCAUGAAGCUGGAAUCGCUAGUAAUCGCGGAUCAGAAUGCCGCGGUGAAUACGUUCCCGGGUCUUGUACACACCGCCCGUCACACCAUGGGAGUCGGGAAUGCCCGAAGCCGGUGGCCCAAUCGAGAGAAGGGAGCCGUCGAAGGCAGGCCGGAUGACUGGGGUGAAGUCGUAACAAGGUACC
rnacentral:rRNA from 1 species